AUGAACACCAAGCACAAAGUAGCUGCACGCAACAACAUCCUGCAGAAACUGACUGGCAGCGCAUGGGGUGCAGACCCACAAGUAAUAAGAACAUCAGCCCUGGCCUUGUCUUUCUCAACUGCUGAGUACACCUGUCCUGUCUGGCAAAAGUCUGCCCAUGCGAAGCAGGUGGACGUAGCACUAAACGAAACAAGCAGAAUAAUCACAGGAUGCCUUAAACCUACACCUGUUGAUAAACUCUACAAGGAAGUUGCUGCUAACGUGAGAGAAAUAAGGUCGAACAUUGUGAAAGCCAUCCACUGCAUGACUAUCAGCCUCCUCCCACCAGACUCAAAUCAAGGAAGGGCUUCAUGAGAACCACCACUCCUCUCGAUGUUCCUCCAGCAACAGCAAGAGUAUCCCUCUGGACAGCUAAACCUGGCAAUUCUAACUGGAUGGCCCCCCAUGAGGGUCUUCCUCCAGGGGCAAACCAAGAAUGGGCAACUUGGAAGUCCCUGAACAGACUCAGAAGUGGAGUGGGCAGAUCAAAAGACAACUUGGCAAGGUGGCACUACCUGGAGGAAUCCUCCACCUUGUGUGACUGUGGAGCAGAACAAACAACUCCGCAUAUGUAUGCUUGCCCACAAUGUCCUGCCUCAUGUACGGAGGAGGAGUUGUUUAAAGCGGUUGCUCUUGCCCGCUUUUGGUCUAAAACUAUUUAGUUGCUUGUGAUUUCCUUUUCCCCCCCAUCAUUUAAAAAUGUAUUUAUCAUGCAAUGCUUUUGACAUGAAAUAAAUAAACUGGAGUGAAUUACAGGGAGCGGCACACCUCCCUAUUUAAGGAGAUCCAUUGGCUGCCAUUCAUCUUCAGGACCCAAUUCAUGAUGUCAGCAGCAAGAACUGAAUAUGCAAAACAUGCCAACAUCAGAAGAUUGGAUUACAAAAGUUUUUGAGAUGGCCAAAAUGGACAGAUUAACUUUGGCUUUACAACAAGAGAAACAUCUAAAAAAUUCAGAAAGAAUGAAAUCCUUAAGAA
rnacentral:lncRNA from 1 species